CCUACGGGGGGCAGCAGUGAGGAAUAUUGGUCAAUGGACGAGAGUCUGAACCAGCCAAGCAGCGUGAAGGAUGACUGCCCUGUGGGUUGUAAACUUCUUUUAUAUGGGAAUAAAACCGGGUAUGCAUACCCUCUUGUAUGUACCAUAUGAAUAAGGAUCGGCUAACUCCGUGCCAGCAGCCGCGGUAAUACGGCGGAUCCGAGCGUUAUCCGGAUUUAUUGGGUUUAAAGGGAGCGUAGGUGGAGUGUUAAGUCAGUUGUGAAAGUUUGCGGCUCAACCGUAGAAUUGCAGUUGAAACUGGCAGUCGUGAGUUGGGUAGAGGUGGGCGGAAUUCGGGGUGUAGCGGUGAAAUGCUUAGAUAUCUCGAAGAACUCCGAUGGCGAAGGCAGCUCACUGGACUGCAACUGACGCUGAUGCUCGAAAGUGUGGGUAUCAAACAGGAUUAGAUACCCGAGUAGUC
rnacentral:rRNA from 1 species